rnacentral:rRNA from 1 species
CGUGUAGGCGGUCAGGUAAGUGGAAUGUGAAAUGACCCCGGCUCACCCGGGGACCGGCAUCCCAAACUGCCUGGCUUGAGUAUGGGAGAGGAUGGAGGAAUUCCUGGUGUAGCGGUGAAAUGCGUAGAUAUCAGGAGGAACACCGGUGGCGAAGGCGUCCAUCUGGCCCAAUACUGACGCUGAGGCGCGAAAGCUAGGGGAGCAAACGG